rnacentral:rRNA from 1 species
GGAUCGGUAUGUUGGUCGUGCUUCGGUACGUACUGUCAUUACCGGUUUCUACCUUCUGAAGAACCGCGAUGUCAUUAAUUUGGUGUCGUGGGGAAUCAGGACUGUUACUUUGAAAAAAUUAGAGUGUUCAAAGCAGGCAUUUUUGCUCGAAUACAUUAGCAUGGAAUAAUAGAAUAGGAC